AUCGAACGCUGGCGGCAUGCCUUACACAUGCAAGUCGAACGGCAGCGCGGGAGCUUGCUCCUGGCGGCGAGUGGCGAACGGGUGAGUAAUACAUCGGAACGUGUCCGUUUGUGGGGAACAACCAGCCGAAAGGUUGGCUAAUACCGCAUAAGACCUGAGGGUGACAGCCGGGGACCGCAAGGCUCGGCGCAGACGGAUCGGCCGAUGAUUGAUUAGCUUGUUGGCGGGGUAAAGGCCCACCAAGGCGACGAUCAAUAGCUGGUCUGAGAGGACGACCAGCCACACUGGAACUGAGACACGGUCCAGACUCCUACGGGAGGCAGCAGUGGGGAAUUUUGGACAAUGGGGGCAACCCUGAUCCAGCCAUGCCGCGUGCGGGAAGAAGGCCUUCGGGUUGUAAACCGCUUUUGUCAGGGACGAAAAGGGACGGGUUAAGAGCUAGUUCCGCUGACGGUACCUGAAGAAUAAGCACCGGCUAACUACGUGCCAGCAGCCGCGGUAA
rnacentral:rRNA from 1 species